rnacentral:rRNA from 1 species
UACGAAGGGUGCAAACGUUGCUCGGAAUUAUUGGGCGUAAAGGGCGCGUAGGCGGAAUGGCAAGUCGGUCGUGAAAUCCUUCGGCUCAACCGAAGAACGUCGAUCGAAACUGCCGUUCUUGAGGAUUGCAGAGGAGACUGGAAUUCCCGGUGUAGCGGUGAAAUGUGUAGAGAUCGGGAGGAACACCGGUGGCGAAGGCGGGUCUCUGGGCAAUUCCUGACGCUGAGGCGCGAAAGCGUGGGGAGCAAACGGG